GGGGACGUAGCUCAAUUGGGAGAGCGCGUGGUUUGCAACCACGAGGUUGUGGGUUCGAUCCCCAUCGUCUCCA
rnacentral:tRNA from 1 species